CUUAUGCCAAAGCAAAAAUAGGCCGAAUUUAACCUUUCACCGUUUACCAAGGAACGAAUCUCGGCGAAGGGAAUGGCUACAAAUAAUUGGCAUAGAAAAUAUCCGGCCGGGAACAAAAGACAUCUACCUAUGUGUGCUCAAUGCACUUUGAAGAGAGUGCAUUCAAUAAAACUUUAAAUAUAGUUAGAUGGAGAGAUGAUGCUAUCCCAACAAUAUUUGCAAAGGCAGACCAUCCAUCCCCAUCUGCAUUAAUGGACAUUACAACUACCACUGAUCAACCACCAAACACCAUUGAUCAACCAUCAUGCUCAAGUAAUCCUCCACGAUAAUGUUUAUAUUUUAAGAUUUUAUAAAAAUAGAAUUGCUACUUUGUUAGCAAACAACAUAAAAGAACUGACGGGUUUACAUUGUGGUAAACGAUUCUUUACAUUUCUUUA